rnacentral:rRNA from 1 species
GACGAACGCNGGCGGCGUGCUUAACACAUGCAAGUCGAACGGGAACCUUUAUUUCGGUAAAGAUGAGAGUGGCAAACGGGUGAGUAACACGUAGGCAACCUGCCGACAGGAUGGGGACAACAUUCCGAAAGGAAUGCUAAUACCGAAUGGAGUCCGAGGAUGGCAUCAUCCUUGGGUAAAAGAUGGCCUCUUAACAAUGCUAUCGCCUGUCGAUGGGCCUGCGUCUGAUUAGCCAGUUGGCGGGGUAACGGCCCACCAAAGCGACGAUCAGUAGCCGGUCUGAGAGGAUGAACGGCCACAUUGGGACUGAGACACGGCCCAGACUCCUACGGGAGGCAGCAGUGGGGAAUCUUCCACAAUGGGCGAAAGCCUGAUGGAGCAACGCCGCGUGAGUGAAGAAGGUCUUCGGAUCGUAAAGCUCUGUUGCACGGGACGAAAACUGGGUUUGAGAACAUUGAACCUGGGNGA